rnacentral:rRNA from 1 species
CACGUAGGGGACGAGCGUUAUCCGGAUUUAUUGGGUUUAAAGGGUGCGCAGGUUGUUUGAUAAGUCAGUGGUGAAAGUCUGUCGCUUAACGGUAGGAUUGCCAUUGAUACUGUUAGACUUGAAUAUGGAUGAGGUAGGCGGAAUGUGUAGUGUAGCGGUGAAAUGCAUAGAUAUUACACAGAACACCGAUUGCGAAGGCAGCUUACUAAUCCAUCAUUGACGCUGAGGCACGAAAGCGUGGGGAUCGAACAGGAUUAGA